AUAACAUGCAAGACUACGUUUCACAUGCAGUACGGCGCCAGCUGUCAGUGUUUUUUUGUUUGUUUUUCCCCCAAGAUUUAUGGCGUAAUAACAUGGACCGUCCUGAUAACUGGAGCCCGGGUUCUGUCAGAGCCCCAGAGGUUGUGGGUUAGACUUGAUGACAUAACAGCAAAUGCAGCGUGUGGUUACAGAAAGCAAGAGCCGCGGAAGACGUUUGAAAACAAUUGGGAAAAUUUGUAUACGGACUGGAAAUUAGAAUUAUUAAUUAAUUGUGGCAGCAUUGGGAUUAUGUAGGUAAUCUUGCUUAUUCAUAAAGAGAUGUCUAUGUAAGUAUUUAGGAUUGUAUUAUGUUUGUAAGUUUUUGGGUUUUUUGGUUUUUUUUUUUUUUUUUGAGACGGAGUCUUACUCUGUCGCCCAGGCUGGAGUGCAGUGGCGCGAUCUCGGCUAACUGCAACCUCCGCCUCCCGGGUUCAAGCGAUUCUCCUGCCUCAGCCUCCCAAGUAGCUGGGACUACAGGCGCCCGCCACUACGCCCAGCUAAUUUUUGUAUUUUUAGUAGAGACGGGGUUUCACCAUGUUGGCCAGGCUGGUCUCGAACUCCUCACCUCAAGUGAUCCGCCUGCCUUGGCCUCCCAAAGUGCUGGGUAUACAGGCGUGAGCUACCACUCCCGGCCCGUUUGUAAGUUCUUUUUAAAAAAUAAUUAGAAAUGGGAAGUAUGGCAAAAUGUUAAGAAUAUCUACUUCUAGAAUAUGGACAUGCUUAUUGACUAUGUGUUGGAAAAUUUUAUAAUAUAAAGUUGAUAAAGGGAAAAUUGGGACUGUAAUGUUACAAGUGUGCCUUUUAACUUAGAGCUGCCACAAAAAUACAUAAACAGCUUUGUGAAUAAAGCCGUAAAAUGUA
rnacentral:lncRNA from 1 species